GUUUUUUUGUUUGGUUUGGAAAAUUCGUUUUGUUUCAUUUUCCUUGUGAAAUGUAUGAUGUUAAUAAAAGGAGAUCAAGGGUAUCUUACAUAUCUGUAUAUUCUUAAAGUCAAAAUGAGUGCUGUAACUCAUACGAUUCAUUGUGAAUAAGGUAGAAUGUCUAUGACCAUUGAAAAGCAGUAUAUAAUAGUCAAAUAUUGGGUUAAAAGAUUAAAGAAAAUUGUAUAUUAAAGAACUGCUAUGAUGCG
rnacentral:lncRNA from 1 species